rnacentral:rRNA from 1 species
AGUGAACGCUGGCGGUAGGCCUAACACAUGCAAGUCGAACGGCAGCACAGUAAGAGCUUGCUCUUACGGGUGGCGAGUGGCGGACGGGUGAGGAAUACAUCGGAAUCUACUUUUUCGUGGGGGAUAACGUAGGGAAACUUACGCUAAUACCGCAUACGACCUACGGGUGAAAGCAGGGGAUCUUCGGACCUUGCGCGAUUGAAUGCGCCGAUGUCGGAUUAGCUAGUUGGCGGGGUAAAGGCCCACCAAGGCGACGAUCCGUAGCUGGUCUGAGAGGAUGAUCAGCCACACGGGAACUGAGACACGGUCCAGAGGCCUACGGUAGGCAGCAGUGGGGAAUAUUGGACAAUGGGCGCAAGCCUGAUCCAGCCAUACCGCGUGGGUGAAGAAGGCCUUCGGGUUGUAAAGCCCUUUUGUUGGGAAAGAAAAGCAGCAGGUUAAUACCCCGCUGUUCUGACGGUACCCAAAGAAUAAGCACCGGCUAACUUCGUG